GGAACGAAAGAAGUUAGAGGAUGAUCUCGAUUCCGCAUAACAUAUUCUAUGGAUGCUUGCCAUGGUGCUAUAUAGGGAUAAAUCUGCUGGUAUUUUCCCGAGCUUUUGCCAAGUACUUGCUUUUUAUUUCUGGAAUUGCUGGUGUAGUCUAGCUUGCUUUCGGAACUACUUUUUGUACUCAACAUGUCUGUAUUAAUUAGUCUC
rnacentral:misc_RNA from 1 species